rnacentral:rRNA from 1 species
AACGUAGGUACCGAGCGUUAUCCGGAUUUACUGGGCGUAAAGCGCGUUCAGGCGGUUUGGCAAGUCGGGCAUGAAAUCUCUCGGCUCAACCGGGAGAGGUUGUCCGAUACUUCCAGACUUGAGGGCAGUAGAGGGUGGUGGAAUUCCGGGUGUAGUGGUGAAAUGCGUAGAUAUCGGGAGGAACACCGGUGGCGAAGGCGGCGACCUGGGUAGAUACUGACGCUGAGGUGCGAAAGCGUGGGGAGCAAACAGG